GGGCGUAAAGCGUGCGCAGGCGGCUUUUUAAGCCAGACGUGAAAUCCCCGGGCUUAACCUGGGAACUGCGUUUGGAACUGGAAGGCUAGAGUGUGUCAGAGGGGGGUGGAAUUCCACGUGUAGUAGUGAAAUGCGUUGAUAUCGUUGGGAACACCGAAAGCGAAGGCAGAGCACUGGGUGCCACCUGACACUGCUAGGACGAAAGCGUGGGUAGCGAAUGGGAUUAGAUACCCCAGUAGUCCACGCUGUAAACGAUGAAUACUAGGCAUACGCGAGUAUCGACCCUCGUAUGUGCCGUAGCUAACGCGAUAAGUAUUCCGCCUGGGGAGUACGGUCGCAAGACUAAAACUCAAAGGAAUUGACGGGGACCCGCACAAGCGGUGGAGCAUGUGGUGUAAUUCGACGAUAAGCGAGGAACCUUACCAAGGUUUGACAUGUACCUUCAAGCGCACGGACACCGUGUGAUCUUCGAGAGUGGUACACAGGUGCUGCACGGUUGUCCUCAGCUCGUGUCGUGAGAUGUUCCCUUAAGUGGGAGAACGAGCGCAACCCUCAUGUUAUGUUGAUUUUCAUAACAGACUGCCAGCGUUUAAGCUGGAGGAAGGCGAGGAUGACGUCAAAUCAGCGUGGCUUUUACACCUUGGGCGGCACACGUGCUACAAUGGGUAGGAACAAAGGGACGCAACACCGCAAGGUAGAGCAAAUCCUCUCAAAAACUAUCCUCAGUUCGGAUUGUGGGCUGCAACUCGCCCGCAUGAAGCUGGAAUCGCUAGU
rnacentral:rRNA from 1 species